AUGGAAUCUUGGGAGCCAUUCUUAGAAUUCUGGCUCAAAAGUCUGAAUUUAUAAUUUAGACUCCAUCUUAACAUACUGGUGAGAGCCUCCUCCUGGCCUUGAAGAAGCCAACAGCCACAUUGUGAACUGCCUAUGGAGAGGGACAUAUGGCAGAGAACCACAGGCAGCCUCUAGGAGCUGAGGACAGCCUUCAGUGAACAGUCAUUAAUAAGUUAGAACUCAGACCUCUAACUACAACCUCAAGAAUCUAAAUUCUGCCAACAACUGUACAGGCUUAGAAGAGGACCCUGAGCUUCUGAAAGGAAGAUAGCCUGGUUGACAUUUUGAUUUCAAUCCUACAAGAUCCUGAGCAGAGGACCCAGCUACUCCUGAGCCACAGAAACUCUGAGAUGGCACAAGAUAGUAAAUGUGUUUUGUUUGGAGCAACUGUGUUGUGGUGAUUUGUUCCCCAGCAACAGAAAACUAAUACAUGGGGCUCGCCUUUGUAGAUCUUGAUUCAGAAAGUCUGGGAUCAGAACUCAAAGUCUGUAAUUUAACAAAUAAUCCAGGGGAAUUUGAUGCACAUGGUCUCUUCCCUAGUUUGAGAAACCCUGAAUUACUUCUCAUAAUUUUCAUCUUUCAUUAAGAUGUAGGAAAAGCUCAGCAUUGUGAUUUUGUGCCCGGGAGAACUGCAUGUAGCCAGAGUUUUCAUUCCUUCAUUUCCUUCAGGAGAACAUUACUCACUGAAAGGAGCUUAAAAUCUGUAAUAACCUGAGAAAGACCCCAGAGCUAGAGAAUCUACAACAUCCAUGGCACUCGAGACAUAAAACAGCUUGUUCCUUCCGAAGAUUGGGUAAUUCAAUCAUCUUCCAGAAGGCCACCAGCAGGAGAAUGAUAGAAAUGACAUAUUUGCUGUUCAUGGAAGAAAAAAAAUGUAAUUGGAAGGAAAUAAGACAAGAUGUUCGCAGAUAAAGGAGGAACUAUCUGCUGGUUUAAAAAAUUGUGUGCUAGUUUACUCAUCUGCCAACAAUAAAUUUCUAUUUUCAUCUUCACAAUUGAAGCUUGGUUAGAAUUAAAUGCAAAGAGAUUUUGCAUUCAGCAGGGCAGACUUUUUUUAAUGCCUCGAGAUGGAUCUAUAAAGAAUAAAGGUUAGUCACUUUAGCAGAACAAGGACCUGUUUAUCACUUCACAAACCUAAUAACUGAUUUCCUAAGAAAUAGUGGUGAGCACUGGGGCUGCCGCUACUACUCUAGCACAUACAUUUCGGCAUUUAGGAGCAAAUUCGAUUUUGUGAUUAGCAAGCAAACUGCCUCGCCUGUGCUUAUUGGACUAUAUAUUUUUGAAGUGGCUUUGGGGCUUUGGUCUGUAAAGUCUUUUAUAGGCUAUAUUAAUCACAUUUUUUAACUCAAAGUAUACUUUGACAUCACUGAGGAAUCGAUAUAGCUAAUUCUGUGUGGAGGGCAAUGUCUAGUGGCAUGUUUACAAAUCAUAUAAAUAUUGGGUAGGAAGGAUCAAGCUGUCAAAUUUACAUGUUCAUUGAAACAGGAACACGAAAAGUUUUCUAUAUGUCACUCACAUCACUUGGAAUGAGAACCUCAGAUUGAAGUAUUCCUUUAAGAAAUAAAAUUUCACAGUUGACGAAAGGCAGAGAAAAGGACUUAUAGCCCUACUAUAGCCUUUGAGGGGUAAAGACAAGGGGGUUGAUUGAAAAAUAACAUUUUACUGAAAAUAACUGAGAAGCUUUUACUGAAAUAGGUUUGCAGUAUUUGUAAAAUGCAUUAGAAUGGCUCUUUAGGAUUUACCAAACAAGAUCCUAAAAACCUGAACUGUGACAGGAGACACUGUUCUAGGGUUUGGCCAACUGAACCCAAUGUUGCAUAGUCAAUAAGCUAAGAAUGGUUUUCACAUUUUUAAAAGAUUGAAAUAGACUAUCCAGCAGAAACGGGGUGUGGCCUACAAAGUCUAACCCUUUACUGAAAAAUAGUUUGCUGAUAUCUGCUCUAGAACUAGGUGGGAUGAUCACUGAGAGCCGCGUGGCUAGGUAUGAACUUUGAAAAGAUCUCUCUCACCAGGAGUGCUCUCAGGGUUUCCAUUAUAAAGUCCUACCAGCUGGGUGCCUCACACAGCAGAAAUUCAUUUUCUCACAGUUCUGGAGGCUAGAAGGACAAAAUCAAGGUAUUGGCAAGGUUGUUUGUUUUGGAGAUCGGCUUGAGGAGGGUCCAUUCUAAGCCUUUCUCCUUGGCUUACAUAGAGAGCUAUCAUCUCCCUGGAUCUCUUCACUUUGUCUUCCUGCUGUACUCGUCUUGGGUCCACAUUUCCCAUUUCCCACCAAUCAUCUUGGAUUGAGGACUCACCCUAAUGACCUCAUUUUAACUCAACUGCCUCCACAAAGAUCUCAUCUCCAGAUAAGGCCCCAUUCUGAGGGCCUGGGGGUUCGGACGUUAAUAUGUGAAUCUGGGGAGGGAGGCUACAAUUCAACCCAAAACAGUAGAAUUCUCUAAUAUCCUCCACAUCACUCAAAUACAAUUUUAAUUUGAAAGAGGCCUAAAUAGGUUAUAUGGUUUGCCCAAGGCCAAAUGUCUAAUGCUCACAGAAAUAGGAUGCGAAUCCAGAAUUUAUUGCCCCAAGUAUACUUUCCAUUUCUUUCAAUUGCCCUAAGGAACAAAAUAACAACCAUUAAAAAUUAACAACAUUACUCAUCAGUUAUUCAACUCUAUAAAUACGUGUGUUGUAUGAACUGCCUGCUUAUACGAGCAAGUCCCAUCCCUCUGUAUAAGGGGAGAUCAAGUGUUUGGGCAGAUAUUUAUAAUAAAAGGACUCUAGUCCCCGGGUGGCCCAAUUCAAAGAGACUGGUUUGGCUGUUUGUCUGCUGCGAUGGCUGUUGUUCUCGCCAAUGUGAUAUUCUGGGUCUGGUUCUUGGAGUCUGCUUUCCUCUGAUCUCCUUAAUUUACUCUCUCGUCUAUUAGAUGGACGUGGUCUCUGCAAAAUGCUGGGCUCCUGCGUCCGUUGCCGGCUCUGUGCGGAGGGCCCCUGGCUGAGCUUUAUGGAGCUACUCGGGAAAAGGAUUUUCGUGGCUCCCUGAUUUUGGCAAGAAGAGAACAGCUUCCGAGAUGAAUCUAAACUGAGAAGGUUUCUUCCAAUGCACAGAUGUCAUUGAUCUACUUAUAUUUCCUGUGAUAAAAUAUUGAAUGUCUCCUGCUCGCUGCCAGCGCCUAGAAUCUGAUUCUUGAACCACGGCCUGCCUAGCACCCAACUGUGAACCUAAGUUCAUCAUCCUUUUAAGCACAUUAUCUAAUUAGAGGCCAGAGAAAAACACAAAGUGGCUGUUCCAAACCAGUUUGACCGGCCUUCUCUCUGUGCUGUGGUUUAGCCCCAGUGACAAAUAUUAGCCUUUUUCCAGCUAAGCUUCACGGAGUCGCAGGUAUCUGGACAAUUUAAGCCAAAUACUUAGGCUGAAUUAUACAACCCGGAUUUUGUAGCUUCGGUCCAAACUCUACUAAGAAAGCUCAGAGUCCAUUACUUUGCAGAUAUUUUUUAGGGAUUUUUCUUUUUGGUCUGAGUAAAUGCACAUUUCUGUACACAGGGAAACAUUUCCUCAUUGCUCCUCCUCUUUUCUAUCUCAAUGAAAAAUUAAA